CAUUCCAUUUGCAAAAGUAGACAACCCAAGGUAUUGCAAGUGGGGUAUGUCCAGUCUUUUAUAGUAGUCAACACUGGCCAAAGUUAGCGUUCAUAUUUGUUUUUGUGUUGAAAAAGCAAACACACAAAUAUUUGGCCAGUGUUUGUGACUAAGUGGCUACUAACAAUGACUGGACAUACCCCAUUUGCAAUACCUUGGGUUGUCUACUUUUUCAAAUGGUAUG